GGGGGUGUAGCUCAUAUGGUAGAGCGCUCGCUUUGCAUGCGAGAGGCACGCUUUGCAUGCGAGAGGCACGGGGUUCGAUUCCUCGCACCUCCA
rfam:Ipomoea nil DNA, scaffold: scaffold1317, cultivar: Tokyo-kokei standard.